UGGACCCACCAGUGACAAUGGGUGAUAUAUAUGACUCAUAUAUUAUGGAGAUGUGUCUGGAACCCUGAGGUCCAA
ensembl:snoRNA small nucleolar RNA SNORD113/SNORD114 family